rnacentral:lncRNA from 1 species
UAUUUGAUGAUUGUAGGGAGCACCCUUUAUGGGUGGCAAAUUGGCCUUGUAAAUGGUCUAUUUUUGCCCACACGGGCAGAGACAUGGGCGUGUGUCUCAACCGUGUUGCUCGAGGGCCAUUUCGAAAUGAGCCUGAGUAGACCACACGAUCGCACACAUAGGCGUGUGCUAGGCCGUGUGGCCAAGUCAGUUUGGAGCACGGGCUAGACACAUGAGUGUGUGACUGGCUGUGUGACCCAAGUCAG